rnacentral:tRNA from 1 species
GGCCUGAUGGUCUAGUGGUAGUCAGUCGGACCGCCCUAUACGGUUCGUUAGCCCGGGUUCGAAUCCCGGUCAGGCCC